rnacentral:lncRNA from 1 species
ACAUCAGGUCUCUUGAUAGAGGAUGGAAUUUUCUGCAUAGCAACUCCUUUUUAUUUAAUGACUUGCAUAACAACAAUCAUCCUUGUAGAGACACAUAGAACUGAGGAGUGCUUCAGAACUGUGGCAUGAGACAUGAAAGAAGGAUUGAUAAACCUACAUGAGGAGAAUUGAGGUAGAAGGCUCUCUGAUACCAAAAGGAGACCACGCUGCUAAACACCAAGGGGAGGCUCAUGCUUCCCUAAUAUCCAUCACUCCCUGCUUCCAACGUGGUCACAGACAGAGCAACAAAG